GCUGCGGUGGUCUAAUGGUAAUGACACUGAAAAGAGGCCUGGAGCAUUCACUAAAUCUGCAAAACGCGGAUGCCAGACACCACAGAAACUGUGGGUGCCAGCCACAGCGAGCAGCUUUAGUGGAUGCUAGCAGAUAACCUGCUCAACUGAGAUGCCAGUUCGAAUCUGGCCCGCAGCA